GUGGGGAAUCUUAGACAAUGGGGGAAACCCUGAUCUAGCCAUGCCGCGUGAUCGAUGAAGGCCUUAGGGUUGUAAAGAUCUUUCAGGUGGGAAGAUAAUGACUGUACCACCAGAAGAAGCCCCGGCUAACUCCGUGCCAGCAGCCGCGGUAAUACGGAGGGGGCUAGCGUUGUUCGGAAUUACUGGGCGUAAAGCGCACGUAGGCGGAUUGGAAAGUUGGGGGUGAAAUCCCGGGGCUCAACCCCGGAACUGCCUUCAAAACUCCCAGUCUUGAGUUCGAGAGAGGUGAGUGGAAUGCCGAGUGUAGAGGUGAAAUUCGUAGAUAUUCGGAGGAACACCAGUGGCGAAGGCGGCUCACUGGCUCGAUACUGACGCUGAGGUGCGAAAGCGUGGGGAGCAAACAGGAUUAGAUACCCUAGUAGUCC
rnacentral:rRNA from 1 species